rnacentral:rRNA from 1 species
UACGAAGGGGGCUAGCGUUGUUCGGAAUCGCUGGGCGUAAAGCGUAUGUAGGCGGAUCGUUAAGUCGGGGGUGAAAUCCCGAGGCUCAACCUCGGGACUGCCUUCGAUACUGGCGAUCUUCGAGUCCGGGAGAGGUGAGUGGAACUCCGAGUGUAGAGGUGAAAUUCGUAGAUAUUCGGAAGAACACCAGUGGCGAAGGCGGCUCACUGGCCCGGUACUGGCGCUGAUAUACGAAAGCGUGGGGAGCAAACAGG